UACAGAGGUCUCAAGCGUUGUUCGGAUUCAUUGGGCGUAAAGGGUGCGUAGGCGGCGCGGUAAGUCGGGUGUGAAAUUUCGAGGCUUAACUUCGAAACUGCAUUCGAUACUGCCGUGCUUGAGGACUGGAGAGGAGACUGGAAUUUACGGUGUAGCGGUGAAAUGCGUAGAUAUCGUAAGGAAGACCAGUGGCGAAGGCGGGUCUCUGGACAGUUCCUGACGCUGAGGCGCGAAGGCCAGGGGAGCAAACGGG
rnacentral:rRNA from 1 species